rnacentral:lncRNA from 1 species
GGGUUUGGCACGAUGAAAUGCUACUUUCAGAAAGAUGAGUAUGUCAGAAUCCCUGGUGAUUUCUAACGCUUAUGGAACACAUCACAUAGGAGCAAUUUAGAUGACAAAAAAGAGCACUCUUCAGUCUGGAUUUACACUGUGUUCCUAUUCACCGACACAUCAGCAAACAUUAUAAAUGCCUUGCCUGAGUAAUGAAUGGUUUCUGAGUGAGUUCCUGGGCUGGCAGCAGGUUUGAAAUUCUAUAGAGUCAGGCAAGGGAGAAGGUGACUAGUGUAGAAUUACGGGAAAGGAUUAAUGAAGGGGUGCUGACUACACAUACUGCUCCACUGUUCUCUCAGUCACUAGACUGAGAAGUCACUGAUUUUUGCCUCUAGGACUGGACUUUUAUAACUUCAAAAAAGCCUCUUUAAACAAAUCUGCAUCAGCCAAUGUGUCAACACUUCAUUGGUUUCAAUAGAAUUAGUUUUCUAAAUGCUCUUUUCUGAAGCAAUUUUUGUACUUGAAAAUGCAUUAUAAGGAACAUUUACUAUAACUACAGUACAACGAUAUAGAAUAUGACAAGUAGGGUUUUAAUCGCUGCAAGCUGCAACACUGAACACGGUCUACAUUGAUCCUCCCCCUUCUCCUUCAGCAUCAAUGUUAAUAAACCG